UUGUCUCUCUUGAGUGGAUCCUGAGUACGACGGAGCACGUGAAAUUCCGUCGGAAUCUGGGAGGACCAUCUCCUAAGGCUAAAUACUCUCUAGUGACCGAUAGUGAACCAGUACCGUGAGGGAAAGGUGAAAAGCACCCCGGAAGGGGAGUGAAAUAGAACCUGAAACCGUGUGCUUACAAGUAGUCAGAGCCCGUUAAUGGGUGAUGGCGUGCCUUUUGUAGAAUGAACCGGCGAGUUACGAUUUGAUGCAAGGUUAAGCAGUAAAUGUGGAGCCGUAGCGAAAGCGAGUCUGAAUAGGGCGUUUAGUAUUUGGUCGUAGACCCGAAACCAGGUGAUCUACCCUUGGUCAGGUUGAAGUUCAGGUAACACUGAAUGGAGGACCGAACCGACUUACGUUGAAAAGUGAGCGGAUGAACUGAGGGUAGCGGAGAAAUUCCAAUCGAACCUGGAGAUAGCUGGUUCUCUCCGAAAUAGCUUUAGGGCUAGCCUCAAGUGAUGAUUAUUGGAGGUAGAGCACUGUUUGGACGAGGGGCCCCUCUCGGGUUACCGAAUUCAGACAAACUCCGAAUGCCAAUUAAUUUAACUUGGGAGUCAGAACAUGGGUGAUAAGGUCCGUGUUCGAAAGGGAAACAGCCCAGACCACCAGCUAAGGUCCCAAAAUAUAUGUUAAGUGGAAAAGGAUGUGGCGUUGCCCAGACAACUAGGAUGUUGGCUUAGAAGCAGCCAUCAUUUAAAGAGUGCGUAAUAGCUCACUAGUCGAGUGACACUGCGCCGAAAAUGUACCGGGGCUAAACAUGUUACCGAAGCUGUGGAUUGUCCUUUGGACAAUGGUAGGAGAGCGUUCUAAGGGCGUUGAAGCAUGAUCGUAAGGACAUGUGGAGCGCUUAGAAGUGAGAAUGCCGGUGUGAGUAGCGAAAGACGGGUGAGAAUCCCGUCCACCGAUUGACUAAGGUUUCCAGAGGAAGGCUCGUCCGCUCUGGGUUAGUCGGGUCCUAAGCUGAGGCCGACAGGCGUAGGCGAUGGAUAACAGGUUGAUAUUCCUGUACCACCUAUAAUCGUUUUAAUCGAUGGGGGGACGCAGUAGGAUAGGCGAAGCGUGCGAUUGGAUUGCACGUCUAAGCAGUAAGGCUGGGUAUUAGGCAAAUCCGGUACUCGUUAAGGCUGAGCUGUGAUGGGGAGAAGACAUUGUGUCUUCGAGUCGUUGAUUUCACACUGCCGAGAAAAGCCUCUAGAUAGAAAAUAGGUGCCCGUACCGCAAACCGACACAGGUAGUCAAGAUGAGAAUUCUAAGGUGAGCGAGCGAACUCUCGUUAAGGAACUCGGCAAAAUGACCCCGUAACUUCGGGAGAAGGGGUGCUCUUUAGGGUUAACGCCCAGAAGAGCCGCAGUGAAUAGGCCCAAGCGACUGUUUAUCAAAAACACAGGUCUCUGCUAAACCGUAAGGUGAUGUAUAGGGGCUGACGCCUGCCCGGUGCUGGAAGGUUAAGAGGAGUGGUUAGCUUCUGCGAAGCUACGAAUCGAAGCCCCAGUAAACGGCGGCCGUAACUAUAACGGUCCUAAGGUAGCGAAAUUCCUUGUCGGGUAAGUUCCGACCCGCACGAAAGGCGUAACGAUUUGGGCACUGUCUCAACGAGAGACUCGGUGAAAUCAUAGUACCUGUGAAGAUGCAGGUUACCCGCGACAGGACGGAAAGACCCCGUGGAGCUUUACUGUAGCCUGAUAUUGAAAUUCGGCACAGCUUGUACAGGAUAGGUAGGAGCCUUUGAAACGUGAGCGCUAGCUUACGUGGAGGCGCUGGUGGGAUACUACCCUAGCUGUGUUGGCUUUCUAACCCGCACCACUUAUCGUGGUGGGAGACAGUGUCAGGCGGGCAGUUUGACUGGGGCGGUCGCCUCCUAAAAGGUAACGGAGGCGCUCAAAGGUUCCCUCAGAAUGGUUGGAAAUCAUU
rnacentral:rRNA from 1 species